GUCCGUGUAGCUCAAUUGGAUAGAGCACUGCCCUCCGAAGGCAGGGGUUGGAGGUUCGAGUCCUCCCAUGGACG
rnacentral:tRNA from 2 species